CUUAAGCGUACCAACACAUACUCAGGAGCCCUACCUAGUUGGCAUGCCAACCUUGAUGGUCCCAGACAGAAGACCAUCAUUGUCACAAAGGACUUGCAUAUGGGAGUGGAUUCAACAUGGACUGAAACAAAGGACAAUGAUCAGAUCUUCCCUCUGGGGGCAGGAAACUGCCAACUCCCCUUUGUCCUCUGGAAAUGACUCAUGGGGAAAAGGAGGAACCAGCCAGGUGACAAGAUACUCAGGUUACCUCCACAACUCCUCCCUCAACCCCUCCUUUUCGUCAUGUAGUUGUGAUAUAGUCUUAGGGGUGUAGUUUGGGGGAUUAGCAACUAAUAAAAGUUGGGGACUUCUUUUGUUCUGGGCUUCCAUCUUGCUUCAUCUUGUUGUGGGUGGGAGUCCUGUUGCGACAGAUUCCAAUAAAGGCCAAGCCUACAGGCUGCUGUUUUGCUCCAAAUUGUCCUGGUUGGUGUCUUUGUUUUUUGCCCAAGGGAGCCCUCGGAUUCCUCCGUUAACACCUGUAACCUCACUUCUUGCAGUGAGGGAACCGCCAGAAGGCCCUUGGCUCUGGACCUCAGUGUCCGGGCAGAACAAUGGGGGGUGGAGAUGCUCCUUCAGGUAUACAUGGCCGAGGCCGUUUACGGCUUUAAAGCUCAUCACCAACACUUUGAAUUGUGCUUGGAAACGUACUGGGAGCCAAUGCAGGUCUUUCAAGACUGGUGUUAUAUGGUAUCGGCAGCCGCUCCCAGUCACCAGUCUAGCUGCCACAUUCUGGAUUAGUUAAAAGUGGCAUGGCUCCCUCACCCCACCCCCCAGGAAGCCACUUUGCCAGCAACCUUCCCCCUUCAUUUAUUGUAAGGCUGUGAAUAUAAGCUGCAGUUUAACUUUUCCAGAUUAGAAAUUGGGGGGGAAACUGUGGCUUAUAUUUGGGCCAAUAUGUUGAUGAUGGGGGUGGUGACAAUGAUGAUUACUCUGCCCAUCUGACUGGGUUGCCACAGCAACUCUGGGUAGCUUCCAACAUAUAUAAAACACAAUAGAACAUUAUACAUUUUUAAAAAAAACUUUCUCCAGGGCUGCCUUCAUAUGUCUUCUAAAGGUUGUGUAGUUACUGAUCUCCUUGGCUCAGGGAUUGCAUAACAGCAUACCCACCAACAUUCCUUUGAUUAAAACAGAGACGUCCUAAGGAAAAGCAGGACAUUCUGGGAUCAAAUCAGAAACUGAGGCAGCUUCUAUAAAUCCAGGACUGCCCCUGGAAAAUAGGGACACUUGGAGGGUCUGAUGUUCUACCUCCAAAGUUGAAAGAAAUUUGUCUCCAAAUAAAAGUUGCCUCCGAACAAAUGCUGUCUGGUGUGGAAUUGCAAGAGGGGAGAAUUACUGUCCACUCAGGUCCUGCUUGCAGGCUCCUAGUACUUAUAUAAAUUCAAUUAAUAAUAAUAACCACAACCAUCUGGCCAGUUCCUGUGAAAACGAGAUAGUGAACUAGAGGGGACUUUCACCUGAUCCAGUAAGACUUUUCUUGUGGUCCUAUUGGCUUGUGACCUUCCAUUUCUUUCUUUUCUUUUUGCUUUGGGUGGAAGGGCAGAAUGGAAAUUAAAUAUGUAAAGUGGUAGUAGGGUGUGGUGAUUUGUGCAUGGAAGGUGGGGCUGACCUCAACGUAGAGAACUGAUGGGAGCAGUGCAAUUUUUGUUUCCUUCACCUACGUCAUUCCCCAAAAAACAAAAACCAACUUCAGGAACAGAUCAAAUUAAUAUAUAUUCUCAACUCCCUUCUAUGACAGAGGAAGACGGAAGGUUUUUGUCUCAGUUCCUCAUCAGACUUGAUCACCGUGCAACAAGCUAUAGCUGUUAAACCAAGCCCCACAGUAAUAGACAGCCUCAUCUUCAGGCUGGAUGUCAGUGAUGGUUAAAAAGCCAGUGUUUCCAGAGAAGGAAGCAGUGAAUCGAUCCGGGAUGCCUUCCCCCCUGUUGCUGCCGACGUACUGCACAUAGCGAGGGGCCUGUCCAGGUCUCUGCUGAAAAAAGGCAACAUAGCUGCUGCUGCGACCAUCACUGGACGUACAGGAGAGUUUAGCCGUUUGCCCCAGGGACACAGUUUCAGAGGCAGGCUGAGUCAGAGUAUGCUGUGAAACGACACCUUUGUGGAAAAGAAAAAAGAAUAAAAUGACCUCGAUUCA